UGCCUUAUCUACUAACUCCACCCAUUCAAUUCUAAAAGUCUUCCCCUGCGGCCCUGCCUCUCCUCCCCCGAUUCGCAUGCACCCCCACCCCCACGCGCAUGUCCCCUUCCUCUCCCGAUGCCGCCGGCGCGCCUCCAGCCCCCGGCCUCCCCCGCCGCUGCCGCCGCCACCCACCCCCAUCGUUGGCCUCCUACGUCGUUGCCGGCGCUCCCCACCCCCACCCCCCCAUCCUCGGCCUCCGCGUCAGCCCGCGGCCGCCCUCCUCGGCCACGCGCAGUGCGAGGUGGGAAUCGGCGUAGCACGGCGGGCCACCGCCGGCGCUGUGUCGCCUGGCGUGGAUUUGCAGGGAGGAAGAUCUCGUCCUGCUUUCCGCGCACAUACCCCUCCCAUCGAUCCCAGAAGAACCUCUUGUUGAUCCUCUUGCUGAUCGUCGAGAAGGAGAAGAUUGGGAGGCGGCGUGGAUGAUGUUCUGCAAUGGGAGGAAGACCAGGUACGCGAUGCGACGGGAGGCGACGGUGACGACCUGGCAUUGACGGAGACGCUGCGGGUUGUGUUCAUGUGCUCCCAGGGCAGUGGCCGGGGCCAGGGAUGACGAGGAGGCCUACAUGCGCAGGUUUCAAGUACAAAGCUGGAACAAUAGUUGAGCUAUGCAGAGUUUUCAAUUUUCUCAUGGAUGUAGGAGGCUCAUGGAAUUUAUUUCCGCAUAAUCAUGACUUUGGUCUACAUCAAGUAGUUAAUUACAUGCUCUUUUAGUUCUGGUACCCUGUAGUUAAUUAGCUUGAGCAAUUUGUGCUUUUAUGCUGAUGUGUACAUGUGAAAUAAAAAUCCAGCUACUUCCUCCGUCUAACAAAAAAUGUCUCAAAUUUAUCAAAAUUUAGAUGUAACUUAGUGUAUAUAUGCAAUAAAGUUUUGUCAAAGUUAAGACAUUUUUUGUUGAACUGAGGAAGUAUUAUAACCUCUGGACGUAUAUGUUCUUAUCUUUUGGACCGAUGAAGUAAUUUUUGCUGCUGAGAAA